CUUUGUGCAAAAGUGGAGUUAGGCUGCUGAUCAGCCAUUUAUGUACAUUAAACUUACGGCUGCACGUCGGGGACUGAAGUGAGCUCUCACACGCUGGGGCUUGCAUUAGCUUCGGUUUCCAUCUGCCUAGCUGCACUUUAAGCACUUUCUGAACCUCUACCUGUUACAGUGUUAGGAGCACAAAAGCAAAGUUGGGCUGAACGCCACAGAGCCAGUCCUAGGGCCAUGGGAGCGAUGCGGUUGUGCUAAGACGCCCCCCUUGGCAGCCCAACUCCAGGGCAGGGGACACAGCAGCAGCACCACUAAUGCCCUCCGGCCCCUCUUACCCAGUCAGAUUGCUUCCUGGUUUGGGGUUCUAACUGCGUCACCCGCUUCUUGGUAUCCCUCCACUGGCUCCCCCUUCUCCACUGCAUUCAACACAACCUCCCUGGAGGGAGCGACAGCAUGCCCUAGGGCGUGGAGCAGCGGACGGCCUCGGGAGAGCUGGAUUCUAUUCCCAGCUCUACUCCUGGGCGACCUUGGGCCGGUCGCUUCCCAUCGCCACACCUCACUUUCCUCAGCAGUAAAAGGGAAGCAGUGACCCUACCUGCCUUUGAGGAGCACUUUGAGAUCUGCUGCUGAGAAGUGCUAGGUGGAGCAGAGCGGAAUCAGCAGAGCCGCGUGAUGCAUAUUUCCAGCAGCCUUAGAGUGGGGUCACUCUCUGAGUCUGGGAGAAAGGGCACUGUGCUGCCACGCCGUCGCUUGUGUCUAUACAUUCAACAGUGCCAGUCCCGCUGCUAACAGGGAGAGAGGUGUGUGUCUGCCACAAGGGAGGCAAAAGGAUGCAUUUCACGGCAGGAAGGAUUAUAGUCAUGACAGGUCUUUUUUAGCGCAAGGAAAGCCCAAUCCUACAGCAGUUGUAGUCAGCAGGUCUGCAAUGUGCAAACAGCUGCAUGGCAACUGCUGCGUUACCUCUGGCAUCACAACAAUCAGCUGUUCAGCGCUGUCUCGCAAUCAGAGGGCUAGAUCCUGCCUUUGACUGCCAGGGCCAGUUACUAGGGGCAAAGCACGACAGGAACAUUUUCUCCCCAUCACCAGCAAGGCAGAAUUCCUACAAGAGGGAGUGGCUGAUUGGCAAGUUACUGAUAAGAACUGCUGGAAAGGGGGCGUGGCCAAGAGCCCAUCUGGUAAGCACGCACGCUGGUGUCACAUGCUAGCCAGAAGUGCACACUGCUCAUUUUAAAGAAAAGACAAAGCGCAGGAGUGCGUGACCUGCCCUGGCAGGACGGGUCCUGUAACCACUGCAUAACCAGCCCUGCCCUGUGGCCUCCUGCCCUCACCAACAAGGGCAGCUGGCAAGGAGAAAACCCCAACGUUUCACUCCCAUUCUGCACACCUUAUGAAAUCAGCAGGCAGGAGGGAUCAAUCAGCACAGGUGCUCUCGUGAAGACAACGUUUCCUUGCUCCCAUGCAUUGUAUGGAGAGAAAGAACCAUCUAGCUCACUGGCAACCUUUCCAGAAGCAGGGGCUAAAGGGAGCCGGGGUCAGCCAAGUGGAAGCAAAGAGAAGGGGGAAAUAGAUUGGCUUUGAUGGGGUGCCCAUCAAGCCAUGGUAUGCGGCAGGAGGCUCUCAGGAGGCGUUUGGUAAAAUUCUUGAAAUGAAUUGGAAGGAAGGUUAGGGUGAUUUCCCUGCCUCUGACAUUUUGCCCCGUCCCUGUCCAUCUUCUCUGCAGCACGUGCACUGGGACGCAGGGCUUAUUACUGGCUAGGAAAGCCUGUUGUUGGGCCCCUGGGUUAAGAUAUUGGCAGUCAGUCACUGCCAUGACACCUCUGGAUUUCUGGCUAACGUCCUGUGGUCUGAACACUGCAUGGAAAGCGCUAAGGCCCAACAUGACUCUGUAUCUUACAGACACCUCCAGUCACUCAUGCUUCACUCUUGUGCUGAUCACAAUGUGAUCAAAACAGAUCUCUCUCGCUAGCCACUUAGCUCGCAGGCACCCAUCUAAUUUCCUCUCUAGGGGCUUUAUUCUGCCUUUAGCUACCAUUGCAUGUGCAGCUCCCACUGGCCUUAUGGGGAAUGGUGCUUGUAUACAGAAGGGAAGAAAAUGGCCCAGAUGUUCAAAGUGUGCAUGCUUCUGUCCAUGUGCAAUCCUUAGUGCACAAACACAAGGGAUUUGCACACACCUGUGUGGGCACUCACUCCAUGUGCGUUGCACAGGAACAAGUCGAACCCAAGCAAAAUGGCUGUGCACUUCUGAAAAUCUGGGCCUCCAGCCCAGCCUGUAGCCCAGUUCCUAUCCCCGUGGGGCAAAAAUAGCUUUCAUCCAAAUAACUACUGUGCACCUGCCACAGGCUACCUUCAUACGGCAUGCUUUUCCCCGUAUGUGUCAGAUAUCUUAAUCAGUCACCAUUCUGCUUCCACUUCCUAUGUCCCCAACCUCUCUGCUCCCCUUUGAUCACCUCUAAAGGCCAGUUUGGAGAUGUGCACCACUGGCAGAGACUACAAAAGCAGCUGCGGCAACUACAGGAAGGAGUGGCUAUAAAUCCAGAGAGCAUCAUAAAGAAGGGUGAGUUGUUGAUUACACUUACAGACACAAAACAUCAAGUAACGUCGCAGCUCCGUGCUUCAGUUUCCCCAAAUGUAAAAUUGGGAUAUCAUACUAACCUCCUUUGUAAAGUGCUUGGAGAUUUAUGGAUGAAAAGUGCUAAGUAAGAGCUAUGUAGUAUUUUUAUUUGAACUUUUAAUUUGUAUGGCCACUGCCUUUAAGGGACAGUCUGAAGAAUGGUGAGGGGUAAAGUUUUGCCAUAUUUACACCUUAGGAGACAGAAGUUUCUUCUCCCUUUAAA